AGGUGAAUAAUAGGAACUAGGAACUCAUCUGGACCGUUGAUCGUGUUCAAUCUAACGGCUCACAUUCCACCCACCUCAUUAAGGGCAUUUCUGUAAUUUUGCGUGUUAAAUGACAUUCAUCCUAAAUCAUGCGCCACUUCAUUUUAUUUUUCUCUCUUCUUUGGACUUUCUCUCUCCUCCUUCCAAUUCUCUGAAUUCCUCCGAAUUCUCUAAAAUCAUGUGCGAUAUUUUCCUUCGACUUCACAAAUUGAUUUCCUCAAGUUAUUCGAUUUCAUCAACUUUCUUCGAUUUUCUGUUAUCUAUCGAAUCUGAACAGCUAUAUGGGACUAUCGGUUAGAUUGUCAUAUUGAUGGCUUUAUUGUUGUUGUUGCACACACCCAUGUCACUCAAGAUUUCAAAAAGGACUUGUAACUAGCAGAAUAUCUGAUGUUCUUCUUGCAACCAACACUAUCUCCUUAUGUUCAUUACUUAAGGUCUAUCAAAAGUAAUUCUCUCUUGUAGGACUACAAUAUCUCCUUAUGUUCAUUACUUAGUUGUGGUCGCUACUGAGAAAGUUGUACAAUUCUCAUUUUCGGCUAUAGAUAUACGAGGCAGCAAUAAGAGGUCUGUGAUCAAUUGAAGGUCUAUACCCUCUCAAGUUUCCAUUUGUAGAUUCUCAUGAAACAUGGAUCACUCGUCUCUCUAGAACCUCCAAGGCUUCUAAAUUGGAAAUUUCAUCUGGUCUUAGCAACUGAUUUUGAAGUUGCUGAUGUUGUCUUUGCUCAUUUUAUUAUUGUCAACUUUAUAUACACUAGCCUACUAGCUCAAGAGGUAGAGUAUUGUGCAAAUGCACAAAAGAUGUGGGUUCAAAUCCCACAUAGGUUCAUUUGUAUUUAUUUUAAGAGAUAUCUUAUUUACUUCAACUUAUCUUGUAUCUACUUUUAUUACUUACAAACUCAAGCUCACGUAUCCAAGGAUUAAAGGACAGAAGGUUCUAUCACUUAUACUAGAUAUUUAAGCAUUCAUAGCAA